UACGUAGGGUGCGAGCGUUGUCCGGAAUUAUUGGGCGUAAAGAGCUCGUAGGCGGUCUGUCGCGUCGGUCGUGAAAACUUGGGGCUUAACCCUGAGCUUGCGGUCGAUACGGGCAUGACUGGAGUUCGGCAGGGGAGACUGGAAUUCCUGGUGUAGCGGUGAAAUGCGCAGAUAUCAGGAAGAACACCCGUGGCGAAGGCGGCUCUCUGGGACGGUACUGACGCUGAGACGCGAAAGCGUGGGGAUCAAACAGG
rnacentral:rRNA from 1 species